GGGGUAUCAUGAAUGGGAGAGGAUGGAGAAGAAGGGUCCUGGGGAGAGAGAAUCACUGCUUUGAAGUCAGUCUGAGUCUGCAGUUAGAACCUGUUGUUGGAACCUGCAGCCACAGUCUACCUAGAUAACUCAUAGUUACCACCCCGUGAUAAGCCGUUCUUCAUUUAUGGCACUGAAUUUCCUCUUCAAGUGCAUGGGCAACCUGUAAUCCUGAACUCCUUGACAGACAGAGACUGCCUAUUUCUUGACUUAUCUCUGCCUUUUUAGAAUAAAGGAGCUCCUCUGAAAUUGCCACAGUGUUUGAAUUUAUGGACCUACUCUUUUAUAUUACUUGCUGCCAGUGAUGUCUCAUGCUUGAUCAAAGGUGACAGCUGCAUUCUUCAAAGGGACAAUUGUGCUCAAGACAUUCAAUAGGUGUUAAGUGAGCAGUUGUUAUCUAGGGUACUGCUGGUGGCCAAGACCUACCAAAACAGUAGAGGUGCUGUUACUGCUGCUCAUCUUGCCUGUUGCAGCAGCUGGCAAGCACUGCCGGUCAGCAGGGAAUGGUUAGGGCGAAGGAGACCCAAUCAGGCAUACUGCAAUUUACAUCUGAUUGAUGAAUGCAUGGAGAGUGUGGAAACCCCAAUUAGAAAUAAAAUUGUGGGCGCCACGGAUUUUGGAUGUGCUUCUCUUACCCUGCUCCCGAGUACAACCCAGAAAACUUGGAAGGUCUGACGGAUAAAAGAAAUUCAAAAGGCAAACUCCAUGUGCAUCUACAGCUUAAUUUGGAUUGCAUUGCAGUGCUUGU